GACGAACGCUGGCGGCGCGCUUAACACAUGCAAGUCGAACGGAAAGGCCUGCUUUCCCUUGUGGCUUGCGGGUACUCGAGUGGCGAACGGGUGAGUAACACGUGAGUGAUCUGCCCCCAACUUGGGUAUAAGCCUGGGAAACUGGGUCUAAUUCCCGAUAGGACUGCAGGGUGGUGCCUGUGAUGGAAAACGAUCUUCUAGUGGUGGGGGAUGAGCUCGCGGCCUAUCAGCUUGUUGGGGGGGUAAUGGCCUACCAAGGCGGCGACGGGUAGCCGGCGGGGGAGGGUGGACGGGGACAUUGGGACUGGGACACGGCCCAGACUGCUACGGGAGGCAGGAGUGGGGAAUAAUGGACGAAAGGCGGAAGCCUGAAGCAGGGACGAGGGGAGGGGGAUGUCGGCCUGCGGGUUGUAGUCUCCUGUGGAGCGCGAGGAAGCCAGUUGGUUGGAAGGGUGGUGACGGUAGUGGUAGAAGAAGCACCGGCUAACUACGUG
rnacentral:rRNA from 1 species